CGCGCAGGCGGGUUAGCAAGUCAGAGGUGAAAUCCUACAGCUUAACUGUAGAACUGCCUUUGAGACUGCUAAUCUUGAGUAAGGAGGAGAGAGAUGGAAUUCCAGGUGUAGUGGUGAAAUACGUAGAUAUCUGGAAGAACACCAGUGGCGAAGGCGAUCUCUUGGUCCUUUACUGACGCUAAGGCGCGAAAGCGUGGGGAGCAAACA
rnacentral:rRNA from 1 species